rnacentral:pre_miRNA from 1 species
GGCGAUUGUUCGUGAAGCUCUGCUGCAUUACAUGAUCAGUUAGGGUUUGUAGUACGGCUAGAACUCCACGGACAAUUACA